rnacentral:rRNA from 1 species
CAAUAGCGUAUAUUAAAGUUGUUGCGGUUAAAAAGCUCGUAGUUGGAUUUCUGUUGGGAACGACCGGUCCGCCCAUUGGGUGUGCAUCUGGCUUGUUCUCGGCAUCUUCUUGGUGAACGUUGCUGCACUUGACUGUGUGGAGCGCUACCCAGGACUUUUACUUUGAGGAAAUUAGAGUGUUCAAAGCAGGCGUUUUGCUUGAAUAUAUUAGCAUGGAAUAAUGGAAUAGGACGCUGGUUCUAUUUUGUUGGUUUUGAGAACCAGAGUAAUGAUUAAUAGGGACAGUGGGGGCAUUCAUAUUUCAUUGUCAGAGGUGAAAUUCUUGGAUUUAUGAAAGAUGAACUUCUGCGAAAGCAUUUGCCAAGGAUGUUUUCAUUAAUCAAGAACUAAAGUUAGGGGAUCGAAGACGAUCAGAU